UACGUAGGGUCCAAGCGUUAUCCGGAAUCACUGGGCGUAAAGCGUACGUAGGCGGCUCGUUAAGUGAAAUGCGAAAUCUUGUGGCUCAACCAUAUAGAUGUUGUCUCAUACUGGCGAGCUUGAGGAUGGCAGAGGCAAGUGGAAUUACUAGUGUAGCAGUGAAAUGCGUAGAUAUUAGUAGGAACACCAAUGGCGAAGGCAGCUUGCUGGGCCAUUUCUGACGCUCAGGUACGAAAGCGUGGGGAGCGAACAGG
rnacentral:rRNA from 1 species